rnacentral:rRNA from 1 species
CCUACGGGGGGCAGCAGUGGGGAAUAUUGCACAAUGGGGGAAACCCUGAUGCAGCGACGCCGCGUGAGCGAUGAAGGCCUUCGGGUCGUAAAGCUCUGUCCUAAGGGAAGAUAAUGACGGUACCUUAGGAGGAAGCCCCGGCUAACCACGUGCCAGCAGCCGCGGUAAUACGUAGGGGGCGAGCGUUGUCCGGAAUGACUGGGCGUAAAGGGUACGUAGGCGGCUAGAUAAGUCAGAUGUGAAAGGCAUAGGCUUAACCUGUGUGAGCAUUUGAAACUGUCUAGCUUGAGUCAAGAAGAGGAAAGUGGAAUUCCUGGUGUGGCGGUGAAAUGCGUAGAUAUCAGGAGGAAUACCAGUGGCGAAGGUGACUUUCUGGACUUAGACUGACGCUGAGGUACGAAAGCGUGGGGAGCAAACAGGAGUAGAUACCCGUGUAGUC